rnacentral:rRNA from 1 species
UAGGGAAUAUUGGUUAAUCUGCGAAAGCGGGAACCAGCAACGCCGCGUGCACGAUGAAGGCCUUCGGGUUGUAAAGUGCUUUUUGAGAGGAUGAGGAAGGACAGUACUCUUAGAAUAAGCUUCGGCUAACUACGUGCCAGCAGCCGCGGUAAAACGUAGGAAGCGAGCGUUAUCCGGAUUUACUGGGCGUAAAGCGUGUGUAGGCGGUUUGAUAAGUUGGAUGUGAAAGCUCCUGGCUUAACUGGGAGAGGUCGUUCAAAACUAUCAGACUUGAGAGUGGUAGAGGGAGGUGGAAUUCCGGGUGUAGUGGUGAAAUGCGUAGAUAUCCGGAGGAACACCAGUGGCGAAAGCGGCCUCCUGGCCCAUUUCUGACGCUCAGACACGAAAGCUAAGGUAGCA